ensembl:misc_RNA 7SK 7SK RNA
AGGAUGAUCUGGCUGCACCACCCAUUAGUCACCCCAUUGAUCACUAGGGUUGGUUCAGCUGAUCUGGCUGGUGAGGUAGGUAUCCCCAUUUUUUUCU